AGUCUCUUUCCCAGCAGUGAUGCCGUCUCAGCCACCAGUUCUCUGCCAGCGGGGUCAGCACAGGCAUGCCCAACAGAUGCUUGGAACAAAUAAACAGGCCAGCAAGUCUUGGAGAGGUUGUCAGGCUGAGUUGAGACAUGCUGUCCCUUUUGAAAGCUGUUGAUGUACUUAGAAGGAUCAGCAUCUGGGGCCAGAUCAUCUCUGACUCUACAUUAAAGCCAGAGUUCUCAUCUUCUUCAUAAUGAUGGUAUGUACUAGUGUUUAAUGCUGCAUUCUUUUCAAAGUCCCAAGAUCACCAGCCAACAAUUAGUUAACUGGGGCCCUGCAGUCAGGGUCUUGGACUCCAAGUCCUGAGUGCUUUUCCUGGCCAAUGCAGAUUCACAACUUCGGGGGUUAGUCUCGAGAGCAUUAGAAGUCCCUCAGAAAUUGUGAGCUGUGAGGGGACUGACUGUGAUUUCACUGGGGUUACAUGUCCCUUGCUUCUUUUAGGAGAACAAGCUUGGGACACUAUUGGACACACUUCUGAGGGUUUGGAUCAGAGGGGCAGGGGCAUAUGGAGGACUGAUCCCCAGAGUCAGACCUCAACCAUGCUGGGGUGUAGAAAUGAGCCAGGCUCAGGAAUCCAGCAGACACAUGCUUUUGAGCACUGCCUCCAUUUGGCAGGUCCUAAACUUCUCUGAGCCUUGGUUUUCCUCCAGGUAAAGCGGGUAUGGCAUACAUGAUAGUGCUUGGCGUUUUGUGAGGAUGCACUGGGUGAGCAUUCAGCAACUGUAACCUCCCUUCCUAUUUCUCCCUGGCUUGUUCCUCAAGUCCCUUCUUGCAGAAAGACCACAGCCAAUCUCGGCCCUUUUCUUCUCCCUUGCCUUGGCUGCCUCUUGUUCAUGUUGGUCGGCACUCUUAACCAGCCCCCUCGUAGUCACCCGUGAGAUUGAGCACGUGGCUGCCGCACAGCCCCCCACAAACACGCUGGUAGGGGCUGAGAGGCUUGAAUGAGACAACUCCGAUUCUGUGCUCAGCAGCUCGGUGGCCGGCCUGUUGGGUGCAUGUUAACUGUGAUUAUUGUUAUGCAGGACUC
rnacentral:lncRNA from 1 species